rnacentral:rRNA from 1 species
CAAGUCUCUAAGCAAUGGAUGUCUUGGCUCCUCACACGAUGAAGAACGUGGCAUAAUGUGUUAAGUAACCGGAGUUGCAAACAUCAUGACAGGUUAAUCUUUGAAUGCAAAUUGCGCUAAACUCGAUCUCGGUCGAGCAAGCAUGCGGUGUGACAGUACUAC